UUCUUCAUCCUUGUUCUCCAGGUGGACGCCUGAUUGCUAUUUUCUUUUCUUCAUCCUUGUUCUCCAGGUGGACGCCUGAUUGCUAUUUCCUUUCUUCAUCCUUGUUCUCCAGGUGGACGCCUGAUUUCUAUUUCCUUUCUUCAUCCUUGUUCUCCAGGUGGACGCCUGAUUGCUAUUUUCUUUUCUUCAUCCUUGUUCUCCAGGUGGACGCCUGAUUGCUAAUUCUUUUCUUCAUCCUUGUUCUCCAGGUGGACGCCUGAUUGCUAUUUCUUUUCUUCAUCCUUGUUCUCCAGGUGGACGCCUGAUUGCUUUUUCCUUCACCGGGUGUUUCUGACACAAAUGUUGUUUUUGCCCCUGUUUAAAUCAAAGAAAAUUUCGUCAGUUUAAAGCAGGGUGGUCAGUUGUGGCAUUCUUGCUGAGGGUGGGGUUUCUCUUUGUCUUGUUUUACUGCCUUGGAGCGAUUGAAAAGACAGUUUUGUCUUUGUAAUUGAUCCUUAACCAUAGGAUCCUCAACUGUUGUUUUCACUUCAAACCCUUUCAAUUGUAAUCAUAUGUCUCUCCUGACAUUGCUGAACCACUUUCUGAUUCAACUUUUCUUGCAUCCAUAUCUUAUUUUUAACCUAUUACUUCCUGCCCAUCAUGGCCGCAUUUUUCCCUAUGCAAUCUUGAAUCUUGGUAGUAUACCUUGAUAUUCCUUCUUAUUUGUUUGGAACAAAACUUACCUC
rnacentral:lncRNA from 1 species